rnacentral:rRNA from 1 species
CCUACGGGUGGCAGCAGUGGGGAAUAUUGGACAAUGGGCGAAAGCCUGAUCCAGCCAUGCCGCGUGUGUGAAGAAGGCCUUCGGGUUGUAAAGCACUUUCAGUGGGGAAGAAAGCCUUGGGGCUAAUACCCUCGAGGAAGGACAUCACCCACAGAAGAAGCACCGGCUAACUCCGUGCCAGCAGCCGCGGUAAUACGGAGGGUGCGAGCGUUAAUCGGAAUUACUGGGCGUAAAGCGCGCGUAGGCGGUCUGAUAAGCCGGUUGUGAAAGCCCCGGGCUCAACCUGGGAACGGCAUCCGGAACUGUCAGGCUAGAGUGCAGGAGAGGAAGGUAGAAUUCCCGGUGUAGCGGUGAAAUGCGUAGAGAUCGGGAGGAAUACCAGUGGCGAAGGCGGCCUUCUGGACUGACACUGACGCUGAGGUGCGAACGCGUGGGUAGCAAACAGGAUUAGAUACCCGAGUAGUC